GUGUAUUGGUCCCAACUUCAACUACAACUACCUAAUUUGUUCUAAAUAAUCUUUCUAUAUGAUAAGAUCAUUACAAUAAACGUAAUAACCAUCAAACUGUUUAGAUUGAAUUUUAUUUUAUUGUGCAGCUACAAUCAGUGAGGUGUCUACAACAAAGUUUAUGUGUACAUCAGAUUAAACGGAACCGUGAACAAGAAAAUAUGACUAUUUUGUUAACAAUUCAUGUUCUUUUCCAGAAAUAAUCAUACGUUUUUUUUUCUCAUUUCUAAAUGAAUGACUGAAUUACAGACUUAUUUUUGCCUCAAUUAAUCCAUGCACAGUUUACAUCUAAAACAAGACAUACUGUGUUUUACAAAACUAAACAGGGCAACGCCAUGAUCAAUAACCAAUAACCAACCAAUAACAAAACAAUGCACAGAAAAAGUAAUGUGAACCCAACCAAAAACCUGAGUUGAAGACAGGUGCCUCUGAAGGGUAACAGUCAAUGUACUGUAAAUUCAGCAUUAUUGCAAGGUUUUAAUUAAUGCGAAUAAUGCGACUGACUGAGUAUCGCAAUAAGAAGAACUCGCAUUCUUAUAUCUGAUACAUACACCUGGAUGCAGAUCUUCUUGACAUUGCAAUAAUUAAUCUGGCACUUUUGUCCAUUUUUCAAAGAUCGCAAUAAUAAAUGCACGCAAUAAUUUCUGAAUUGACAGUACUUAUUGCAAGUAACAAUGGUGAAAGAUUGCAUUGGGUAAGCUCACAAUCAAAGAAAAUAGGACAGGAUUUUAGUGGAACAUAUUCUUGAAUAUCUGGGACACAUAUAUGUUAUAACAGUCAACCAAAUCAUAAUGGUGUCCUAAUAUUUUGUUAAAUUUUAAAAAGGGAUGUUUUGAACUUGACCAUUUGGAAUUUUUCAUGCAAGAGUUUCUUGUAAUUCUAUCAAGAUACUCCUGAUAGGGAACACAAACCAUUGAAUACACAACAAACACAAACAGUCUCACACACAUACUGUUGGUCUAGUUUUGAGCCUAACACACAUGACCAUACUAUUAUACCUGUCUCAAGUCAUCAGCCUGUAACUAUUGCUUAAAGUCUUCUUAUAUUUUGCAUUUCACUCAAUUUUAUUGACAUUAAUUAUUCUAUAAGGGACAGAUUUAUUUAUUUCACAGUUUGAAAUUUUAUUGUUUGUUGUCAUCUCUAAUGUAGAUGUUUAUUUGCAGAGGUUUUACUCUUAGAUUAGAUAGAUCUCAUAGGCCAGAGUUCGCGAAAAGUGUCAGUCCUCAGGAUUUCACCACCAAAAUUUUGCAUAGGACUGACACAAUUUUAGUAUUUUUCAAUAGAUAAAUAGUGGGGACCAGCAGAUUUUCUUCAAGGACCACCAGGGGGGAAAAGAUUUUGCGAACUCUGAAUUAGGCAAUGCUAUUUCUUCUAUCUACACACACAAAGUUUCUUGUAAAGUUUGAUAAUAUUAUUGUAUGCAUUUCUUUCUCAAAGCUAUUUAAUCUGAUGCAUUUGUAAAUAUGUUUAUACAUAUAAAAUAGCACAAAUUUCUAAAAAAUGAAAUAACUAUAAAAAUGGUGAUAAAAUCUAAUACAAAUUUAAAUACAAUUAUGAAAAUAAAAUGCACUAUUUAAGUCAAUAACAAAGAAAUAUACAAGAUAUAAGCAAUAUUUAAGUAAAAUGUUCUGUAAAUGUAUCAUUAUCAUAUCAACACUGAACAAAACAUUUCAUCACAAAAUAUGAAAAAAACAUGUGUAAUAACAAUUAAUAAAAAAACAACUAUUCAUAAAUAUUGCCAAUUUUUUUAAUUGUACUAUAUUAUGACAGUAGACAAUAUACACCUUUUAAGAAACUAUUGGAUAAAGGAUAUGUUUAAAAAGGAAAAACAUGUACAUUGCAUUUUCGAUUUAUCCAUAAUAUGUAUAAAAAACCUUGACUGCUUGAAGAUCAUGGACAAUCAAUGACAGAAUUAGCAUUUAAUUCAGAUGUUAAAAUAGACCAGUAAAGAUCACUUUCUCUUUAUUUCUCCUAACCUUCGUUAAUAUAAAAAAGAAGAUGUGAUAUGAUUGCCAAUGAGACAACUCUCCACAAGAGAUCAAAAUGACACAGAAAUUAACAACUGUAGGUCACAGUACGGCCUUCAACAAUGAGCAAAGCCAACACCAUAUAGUCAGCUAUAACAUGCCCCAAAAUGUAAUGUUAACUCAUAGAUAAACUAUGACAACAUUGUAAUUCCUUGAUGAUUAUUCUCUUAAAUUAAUACUAUGUAAUGAGCACCAUGAGGGAUAGAAGAAGGAACACAUAAAGGACAAAAAGACAAGUAAAUACCUACAAUCACUUUCAAGAAAUUCUAUUUAUUGCAGAAACAUUUUUAUGAAUAUUUUGAAUUCAUAUCAUGCUAAAAGAGAAUUUUUUACAUUAAUAUUGCAAAACUUUUAACAUACUUAAGUCAAACAUACUCUCCAUUUUCAUUGCUAUAAUUGUUGAAUUGUUGAAUUAGAAACCCCUCAACUCCUUUUUAUAAGACCAAUACCUUUUUGAAAGGUAAGAAUGUCAUAUAUCAACAGUCCUUUUUGUUUACACUUCAUCAGAUGUAGCUGUUUUAUUAAUGUCAACAAAUUAGGAUUUUUUUCUAAUUUAAGGAAAGAUUUUUAGAUUUUUCAACUUAGUUCCGUCUUCUCCAUUUGUUUAUUGCAAAAACAUAGAAACACAUCAUUAUAAAACUAUAAAUAGAAUAUCUGUCUGUAUAAAAUCUGGAAUCAUAAUAAUAUCAGAUUAUUACAUGGCAUUUUUCAUAUCGCAUGUAUUAUCAGCCCUAGGUUCAAUAUCAGCCCAAGAGCCGCAUGGCUCGAGGGCUGAUAUUGACCGAGGGCUGAUAAUACAUGCGAUAUGAAAAAUGACAUGUUAUGAUCUUUUUAUCAUAUGCUUCAACAGUAGAGAAAAAUAG
rnacentral:lncRNA from 1 species